rnacentral:misc_RNA from 1 species
UACGAAGGGGGCUAGCGUUGUUCGGAAUUACUGGGCGUAAAGGGCGCGUAGGCGGACAUUUAAGUCAGGGGUGAAAUCCCGAGGCUCAACCUCGGAACUGCCUUUGAUACUGAAUGUCUUGAGUACAGAAGAGGUGAGUGGAAUUCCGAGUGUAGAGGUGAAAUUCGUAGAUAUUCGGAGGAACACCAGUGGCGAAGGCGGCUCACUGGUCUGUUACUGACGCUGAGGCGCGAAAGCGUGGGGAGCAAACAGG